rnacentral:rRNA from 1 species
AUUGAACGCUGGCGGCAGGCCUAACACAUGCAAGUCGAGCGGAUGAAGGGAGCUUGCUCCUGGAUUUAGCGGCGGACGGGUGAGUAAUGCCUAGGAAUCUGCCUGGUAGUGGGGGACAACUCGGGGAAACCCGAGCUAAUACCGCAUACGUCCUACGGGAGAAAGUGGGGGAUCUUCGGACCUCACGCUAUCAGAUGAGCCUAGGUCGGAUUAGCUUGUUGGUGAGGUAACGGCUCACCAAGGCUGCGAUCCGUAACUGGUCUGAGAGGAUGAUCAGUCACACUGGAACUGAGACACGGUCCAGACUCCUACGGGAGGCAGCAGUGGGGAAUAUUGGACAAUGGGGGCAACCCUGAUCCAGCCAUGCCGCGUGUGUGAAGAAGGUCUUCGGAUUGUAAAGCACUUUAAGUUGGGAGGAAGGGCUGCGUGUUAAUAGCACGUAGUCUUGACGUUACCAACAGAAUAAGCACCGGCUAACUCUGUGCCAGCAGCCGCGGUAAUACAGAGGGUGCAAGCGUUAAUCGGAAUUACUGGGCGUAAAGCGCGCGUAGGCGGUCAAGUAAGAUGGGUGUGAAAUCCCCGGGCUCAACCUGGGAACUGCAUCCAUAACUGCUUGACUAGAGUACAGUAGAGGGUGGUGGAAUUUCCUGUGUAGCGGUGAAAUGCGUAGAUAUAGGAAGGAACACCAGUGGCGAAGGCGACUGACUGGACAAGUAUUGACGCUGAGGUGCGAAAGCGUGGGGAGCAAACA